rfam:Erinaceus europaeus unplaced genomic scaffold scaffold00322, whole genome shotgun sequence
GUAGGUUAUGGUGAUAUGCACCCAGUGACCAUAGGAGGCAAGAUCGUGGGGUCCCUUUGUGCCAUCGCAGGUGUCCUGACCAUUGCUCUGCCAGUCCCAGUGAUUGUUUCCAAC